rnacentral:misc_RNA from 1 species
CAAGAGCUCGCGCCCGUCUGGGCGGAUCUCCCACCCGCUGUUAUCACUACAAUUGUUGCUUUGGCGGGCCGUCGGGCCCUGCCCGGCCGCCGGCCCCAGGCUGGUGCGUGCCCGCCAGAGGCCCCGUAGACUCUGAAUGUUAGUGUCGUCCGAGUACUGUACAAUAGUUA